UACAGAGGGUGCAAGCGUUGUCCGGAAUUAUUGGGCGUAAAGAGCUUGUAGGCGGUUUGUCGCGUCUGCCGUGAAAAUCCGGGGCUCAACCCCGGACUUGCGGUGGGUACGGGCAGACUAGAGUGUGAUAGGGGAGACUGGAAUUCCUGGUGUAGCGGUGAAAUGCGCAGAUAUCAGGAGGAACACCGAUGGCGAAGGCAGGUCUCUGGGCCACUACUGACGCUGAGAAGCGAAAGCGUGGGGAGCGAACAGG
rnacentral:rRNA from 1 species